UCUUAAUCUGUAUGUUUUUUCUGUCAUGUUUAUUUUGUGUUUAGUUGCACAGAAAGUUAUGGAAAUUAAAUGGUGGAAUGAACUAAUAAUGUUGAUAAAUUUUCUGUAGAAAUAGAAAAUAUGUGUCUUUGUACAUGCAGUAUGCAAAAUUGGGAUUUCAACCAAAACUCAUGCGUGGAUCGUGUAGGAAGUGUAGAGGGAUGGAAAUACUUAACAAGUUUAUGGGAAAUCUGAGUUGCUACAGCAGAGCUCUUAAGCUCGGGCUUCCUGGCGUCCUUUGUGCCCUGCAUUAUUGUGAAAGGAGAGUGCAAGAAGCAGCCAGCUGUUGAAUAGAGGGAGAGCUUGAGAUUUGAAACAACUAUUUUACAACCCUAGUUGUAACUUCUCUCUCUCUCUUCACUUGCUCUCUUAAAGACUCUCUCAUGCUCCUUUUAAAAUGUAACCUACAUUAUUAGAGUAAAAACCACAGAAACUACUAAGCAUGGAAGUAGGCCACAGCUUGCACAUAUGGAAGGUUCGUACAGUGCUCUGGACUUAUUACCGUCAUUAAUGAAAGAAAGAAAUUCUGGAUGCUUUAUUGGGAUCAGAGUCCAUAAUAUCAGCUCCAGUGUAUAAGGUUUUCUCCGUUUCAUAUUCACCGUGAACUUAUUAGUCAUUAUGCCCUUGAUGAUAACGAUGUCGUAAGAGUCAUUUGUGUUGCAAAACAAGUCACAAUCUCUAUAUGUCAAGAAUCUGAGCUUUAGGACAUCAGACGAGAGUUUGAUAAAGCAUUUUAGUGGACAAGUGAAGGGGGGAAAACUAUUAAGUGUUAAGGUAAAGAAACACUUGAAGAAUGGGAAGAAUGUUUCAAUGGGUUUUGGUUUUCUGGAGUUCGAUUCUGUGGAGACAGCCACAAAUGUUUGCCGGGAUUUACAGGGAACUAUUUUGGACGGGCAUGCUCUUAUUUUGCAACUUUGUCAUGCCAAGAAAGAUGAAGUGCCUAAAAAGGUUGACAAUGAUAAAAGCUCGACAAAACUACUUGUGAAAAAUGUAGCUUUUGAGGCCACAGAGAAAGAACUGAGACAGCUAUUUAGUCCAUUUGGCCAGUGAAUUUUAGACAAAAUGUUAUGCCGUGAACCCCAAGGCGACGUCGUUUUAGCCAUCACCGUGUUAUCCCGUGAAAAGUUUCAAGGCGACGUUAUUUUUCUAAUAUAUACACUGUUGCCCUCCCUCACCAGUGUAAAGUAAUCUCAUUCUAUGAUAGGUGGUCUAUACCAUUCAUCAAGCUUUCGCGACUUGAAACUUUUCACUCGAGCUUUGGCGACUGGAAGCUUUGGUCUAUACCAUUCACUUCCUUUGUCCGAUUAGAUGCUCAUUAAU